rnacentral:rRNA from 1 species
UACGGGGGGGGCAAGCGUUGUUCGGAAUUACUGGGCGUAAAGGGCGUGUAGGCGGCCAACUAAGUCCGACGUGAAAUCCCCAGGCUUAACCUGGGAACUGCGUCGGAUACUGGAUGGCUUGAAUCCGGGAGAGGGAUGCAGAAUUCCAGGUGUAGCGGUGAAAUGCGCAGAUAUCAGGAGGAACACCGGUGGCGAAGGCGGAUCUCUGGGCCUGUUCUGACGCUGAGGCGCGAAAGCUAGGGGAGCGAACAGG